AUAAACAGCUAGUUAUAACAGUAUGAUGCUCGUGAUUUCGGAGAGUCCACAUGGUUCCAGGAGAGUAAAUUGGGGGCCAUACCUCACCUGGUUUGGGGACAGUCAGAUAAACUUCCUGGAGGAGACGUCAUCCAAGUUGAGAGCUACAGGACCAGCACGAGAUGGUCGGCAAGUCGAGGAGACUGAGGUUCAGAGAGACUGGGUAAUCUGCUCCGAGCCUCACAAGCCACCGAGUGCCAUAGCUAACACUAGGACCAAUUUAUGGCCUCCGUAUUGCUUCCAUGGUGACUGUUCGGGGUCUACGGGAUAUCCAAGGUGGUGUUUAAAGCCACAGAAGUGAAUCGCUGUGCAGGUUGAAAAGAGAAAAAGGCCACCAGCCAAACUCCGAGAAACCCCAAUGUUGACAGGCCCGUGGAAAUAGAGCCCGUCUGCUGUGGUUGGAAAAUGUGAAGAGAUGGAAGCCGAGGGAGGGCAGCCUUUCCAGGGGGCUGUGGCCAAAAGUAAGGAGAGGAGAAGGUCCUCAAGGUGUGGCAGGAUGAGCGACUGUGGUUAGGAGAAAUUUGCCAAUGGCUAAGUCUUACUUAAAGCCCAAAGCUGGGAAUCCACUCAGCCUACUUUGAACAGAUGAGACGCAAUCACCAGCGACCGGACGAGAACCCCCACGGAUGCCUCCACGAUGACUUGGAUGCGGAUGUUGAAGGUGUGGCCGGGGCUGGGAGGUGUUGGGUGCCCGGAGGGCUGGUACCCACCCAGGGCCAGCCUCAGCCCAGGCGGACGGUGGCUCUGCUUGAAAGCAGAGGGUCCCUCUGCGCCUCACACUCUUGUGUCACGCGGUAUGUAAAAUUUCGCUGCUUUCUCAGUCUCGGAGAAACAUUGUUGCCAGUGGCGCGCUGGGAAAUUGACUGGAGAAAGUUUUGGAGGUAGGAAUGCUGGCACCGCCCAUUGCCAAUUUCAAGCUGCCAGCCCCUGAAUGAGAAUAAUCAGCUCUUGGGGGCCAGGGUGAGCAGGCAGGUGCCCUGCUAGCCCUUCCCCGCCACACACAGUUACUAGGCCACCAUCGGCGCCUUAUUUAUAAGGUUUCGACUCCCUUCAAGACCUACAUCUCCCUGGGACGGCUGGGUUGUGGGAGAUCCUCGUCUUCCCUUCUAGGUCCUUCCUUCCUCCUCCUCCUGCUUCUCCUCCUCCAUCCCUCUUCCCCUCCUUCUUCUUUUCCAGCAUUUACCGAUGGCAACGCACCUGGGACAUCCUGCCGGAACGCUGGGCUGCGAAGAUGGGUCAGGAUUCAUCUCUGACCACGUAGGGAGGCGACGACCGUCUCCGUGUUCGGUGCUGGAGGGCUGCAGGGGGCCCAGGUGGGGUCAGAGGAGUCCUGUGCAGUACAGGAGUGAGUGUGGAAGGCAGGCUUUCUGGGAGGUGCUGGAGCUUGAGUUGAAUCACCAGAAGCGUCCCUGUUUGAACCUGUUUUUAAGACUGAAUUCAUGUCAAAUGAAAGCCGAAUGCUGACAAUAAAACCGGCAGCAGCAAGCGUUUACUGAGCACGUCCUAUGUGCUACGCAGGCACUCUGCCAAAGCCGGGUAUUAUUAGCUCGUGUAACCUGACAGCAACUUUAGGAAGAUGAUACUCUGGGGGGCCCCUCUUUUAGGUGAGAAGAUCGAGGCACAGGGAGGUUAAUAACUUGCCACGGAGCUCGUGAAAUGUGGAGCUGAGGUUGAACGCAGGCGCUGUGACCCUGGAGCUACAAUCUCAACCACUGAGGACACACUGCUUCAAAUAACUUCACAGUAUACAAUGUAACGGAAAGUUUCCCAGGAGUUCGAAUUGAGCAAACGGGACCGGUUUAAACCACCACACAUGCCCUCAAGAGCCCGGGGCCGCGACUGUCAGUCUCAUAUUGGCAGAACGAUCAGAUGUUCCGAUCACACAGCCCGCCAGCUUGGCGACAGUUCAUUAGCUGUAAGUGUAGUCGUAAAUGUGCCAUGAAGAAAUUUUCUGUAACCAAUUCCAGUAAUAAUUGGAUUAGAUACUUUGUUAGUGCAGGUUUCAAUAAAGCUGCAAUGUGAACUUCA